GGGAAUUUAAUAUAAUGGUAGUAUCACAGAUUCCAAACCUGUUCGCAAAGGUUCGAUUCCUUUAAUUCCCGCCA
rnacentral:tRNA from 1 species